rnacentral:rRNA from 1 species
GAUGAACGCUAGCGGCAGGCCUAAUACAUGCAAGUCGAGGGGCUCUUCGGAGUCACUGGCGCACGGGUGAGUAACACGUAGGUCAUCUACCCCUAUCACAGACAUAACCCCGGGAAACCGGGGCUAAUAUCUGAUGAGGUCGCGAGAUCAAAGCUUCGGCGGAUAGGGAUGAGCCUGCGGCAGAUUAGCUAGUUGGUAGGGUAACGGCUUACCAAGGCUACGAUCUGUAACCGGUCUAAGAGGACGGUCGGUCACACUGACACUGAAUAACGGGUCAGACUCCUACGGGAGGCAGCAGUCGGGAAUUUUGGGCAAUGGGCGAAAGCCUGACCCAGCAACGCCGCGUGAAGGAUGAAGUAUUUCGGUAUGUAAACUUCGAAAGAAUAGGAAGAAUUAAUGACGGUACUAUUUAUAAGGUCCGGCUAACUACGUG